CCAUUGGAGAUUCGAGUACUUAGCGGCGUUCACUGUUUAGAAGUCUUAGCCUUUUGCUUCCGCUGUGCAAUGAAGAUACCGGUCCAGUCACACCAGCUCUGAUAAUUUCGGGGUGUGACACUAUUUGACAUUCUUUCUUUGUGGGGGAUAUGUAUGUUAAAUACCUAUGGUGGAGUAAAAGUUGUUUUUUCUGCCAUGAAGAUGAUCGACUCAGAACCACGAGGCAGCUUGAAAGAGCCGGUUGAGGAUAAAAGUAACUAAGUGCAUUCAAGUUGUUAAAAUCUCGAAAUAUGCCGGUUGGGGCGUGAUGGCCAGUCAUCGCAGGUCCACUUGAAUUCAUUGAUGCGAUGACUUUAGCACAGGCGUGGACUCUUCUGUAUCCAUUAUCUACUUAUAAGGUCCACUUGAAUUUGCUGAUGCAAUGACUUUAGCACAGGUAUGCCACCUAUUGUAUUCACAAUUUCCAUUGAUUUCUCUACAUUAAUUAGUUGUUCACUGUUUACAUUCAUUCCUAUAGUUCUAUGCAUGUUAUGUUUUAAUGACACCUUUAGUGGUCCGGGUUUUUUUUUUCCGGAUAUUGUUUUGCUAAGUGUUUGUUUUAAAAUCGUCGUUAGUUUUUUACAUGUUUGAAGAGCAGGUUAAUCAGGAGAAGCUCAUAUUGUUACAUAAUCCUACAUUGAUUUAAAUUGCUUUAACAUGUACCACCAAG